UUACUACUUCCUUCGACCCAUAUUAUUUGUCAAAAUAUUACAUGUAUCUAGACAUUUUUUAAAUAUAGACACAUUCAUAUUUGAACAAAUUUGAAACAAAUAAUAUGGGUCGGAGGGAGUACCUU
rfam:Brachypodium distachyon strain Bd21 chromosome 3, whole genome shotgun sequence.